CCUACGGGGGGCAGCAGUGGGGAAUAUUGGGCAAUGGGCGCAAGCCUGACCCAGCAACGUCGCGUGAAGGAAGAAGGCUCUCGGGUUGUAAACUUUUUUUGACAGGGAAGAGUAGAAGACGGUACCUGUCGAAUAAGCCACGGCUAACUACGGGCCAGCAGCCGCGGUAAUACGGAGGUGGCAAGCGUUGUCCGGAUUUACUGGGUGUAAAGGGCGUGUAGCCGGGUUGAUAAGUCAGAUGUGAAAUCCUGCGGCUUAACCGCAGAACUGCAUUUGAAACUGUUGAUCUUGAGUACUGGAGAGGCAGACGGAAUUCCUAGUGUAGCGGUGAAAUGCGUAGAUAUUAGGAGGAACACCAGUGGCGAAGGCAGUCUGCUGGACAGCAACUGACGGUGAGGCGCGAAAGCGUGGGGAGCAAACAGGAUUAGAUACCCGAGUAGUC
rnacentral:rRNA from 1 species